CCUCCUCCCUCCUGUCCUCUCGGUCCGUCACCCUACCGGCAACAAUGUUUCUCACCCUGAACCAGCUCUCCGGUUCCCACGCUCCCGCUCCCGGACCCUCCGUUCAGCCGCAGAUCGUCGUCCCGGUCCGGGAACGCUGAGCUGCGCUGCGGACCCUCCAUUAUUCGCUUCCUAUAAAAUUUUCUUGUUGCUGAUGUGAAUUUUCAAGAUAAAUUUCUCGGAUGAAAAUGUUGAAAGAGAAGGUGUAGAAAGAUGUGUGAGAAAUAUGUGGUCAUAAGAAUUCCAGUAUGGUCAAAGGUAUAGGAUGAAGAAGAGCAGACAAAGAGCAGUAGUAGUAUCCCUUGCUUAUGUAACUUACCUGUGUUUUAAGACAAGAUUCUGCAAAUUCAACAAUCCAAGAUCAUGCAUCACUUCCACUGAAAAAGAAUAAAUUUGCAGGUGGACCAUGUGGGCAGGAUAGCAUCCAAAGGAACAUCAGAAGUCAGCAGCCUUCACACAAUGGAAGAUGACAAAGAACCUAACCUUUUGCCUGAAUGGUUAACUGAGAUUACUUCCCUUUUAUCUUUUUAAAAACUGUCAUGGCCAAACAGAAUCUUCAAAGGUGGUCUGCUGACAUGAGUCCACCUUCUCCCUAGACCGCUGGCUUUUCUGAAUAAAGCACCUUUCCUUUCUACUGACACUAACCCCCUCGAUUAUUCAUUUUGGAGCAGCUAGCAGCCCAACCUGAAUUCGGUAACAGAAUUAUUCCCUUUGUUAUUUUGGAUUGUGGAUAUUCACUUUAUUUUUCAUUUAAUAACACAAUGUUUAUGUGUAUUUAAGGUAGAAGGGGGUUUACAUGAACUCAAUUGAUCCUAAUAUCAAAAGUCAAUUACCAAACUCUUGGGGGAAAAAUAUAUUUAACGUAAGAAUUUUUAAAAUCUUGAAGUGAUUUUAAAAAAUUAUAAGGGCUCUUUAACCUGACUUCAUAUAUUCAUUUGAGGCAGUUUUUACACAGACGCAAUUUAUCUCAUAGGAAUUAAUAUUAAUGAUGUGUUAUUUUUGUCUAGAGUUAUAUUUAAUUUUUUAAAAAAUUUCUGAUUUACUAAUGGCAGUUUAAAUAUUUUGCUUGGUGUACAUCACUGGGUCUUUGAGG